ACUAUGCCUAGCCCUAUACAUUGAUACUAACCUACUUAUUUUAUCCGCCAGGGUACUACGAGCAUCAGCUUAAAACCCAAAGGACUUGGCGGUGCUUUAGAUCCACCUAGAGGAGCCUGUUCUAGAACCGAUAAUCCCCGUUAAACCUCACCUUUUCUUGCCAUGUCCGCCUAUAUACCGCCGUCGUCAGCUUACUCUGUGAGGAACUUGUCGUAAGCACAACCGGCAAAGCCCAAAACGUCAGGUCGAGGUGUAGCGAAUGGAAAGGGAAGAAAUGGGCUACAUUCAAUAGUUAUAAUGAAUACGAAUGAUGUCUUGAAACAGACAUCUGAAGGAGGAUUUAGCAGUAAGCAGAGAAUAGAGCGCCCUGCUGAAAUUGGCCCUGAAGCGCGUACACACCGCCCGUCACUCUCCCCGAGCUAAUAAAGACAAAUUACUAAUAAACAAAACUGCAAAGGGGAGGCAAGUCGUAACAUGGUAAGCGUACCGGAAGGUGCGCUUGGAAAAACUCAGAGCAUAGCUAAACAACGUAUAGCAUCUCCCUUACACUGAGAAGACAUCCGUGCAAACCGGAUUGCCCUGAGGCCAAAUAGCUAGCCCAACCCCCUUAAACAAAAAAAUCGCCCUAAAUAACCCCUCACGCACUAAAAGCACUAAACAAACCAUUUUCCCAUCUUAGUAUAGGAGAUAGAAAAGAUCCCGGCGCAAUAGAGAAAGUACMGCAAGGGAAAGCUGAAAGAGAAAUGAAAUAACCCAGUUUAAGCCCAAAGAAGCAAAGCUAUC
rnacentral:rRNA from 1 species